rnacentral:rRNA from 1 species
AUGGCGACCGGCGCACGGGUGAGUAACACGUAUCCAACCUACCGAUAACUCUGGAAUAGCCUUUCGAAAGAAAGAUUAAUACCCGAUAGCAUAAUGAUUCCGCAUGGUUUCAUUAUUAAAGGAUUCCGGUAAAGGAUGGGGAUGCGUUCCAUUAGGUUGUUGGUGAGGUAACGGCUCACCAAGCCUUCGAUGGAUAGGGGUUCUGAGAGGAAGGUCCCCCACAUUGGAACUGAGACACGGUCCAA